AUGAAGAGAUCGGAGGCGGCUCCCCCACUCAGCGUCUCCACACCCACUCCGUUCCUCCUGUUCCUCUCGCCAAACCUCCCCUUCCGUCCUCUCAUCCCACCAGCUUCUUUCCCUUCCUGUCAACCCUCACCCGUCCUUCCUAAACCCCCCUCAUCCCUCGACCCUCGACCCCUUCCCCCAUCCCUCGACCCCUACCCCAUCAUCCCUUCAUCCUUCCAUCCCUCGACCCUUUCCUUCCCAGCAUCUAACAUGUGUCAUUAUGCUUAAUAAAUCCCUGUUUUCAUUCCAUACAGCUUUUGGCGUGGUCUUUGUUAGUGAAACAAUCGCGGUGCGCUGUGAAGCAGUCAGGCCGAUUCAGACUUGUCUUGUUCAUCCAUGUUCAAUGACGAUCAGCAGAAUUGCUUUUUGACUUCAAUUUUAGAGGCAAUUCUGCCGUUCUGAAUGUUUUUUAUUGUCCCAAGUGCUUCGUGUCCCCAGAUCAAAGGAGAUGCGUAUGUCCAUGUGAAUUACUCUAUAUAUUCAGGGCGAAAAAACAUCCCAGUUUGCUCUCUAUUCUGUUCUUAGCUUUAAAGCUUCCGAGUGUGGCGAGAUCUCUCCUGCUCUGUUGUCAGUUUUAUUCCACUCAGCACACCCUGAGCUCAAAUAGUGCCUGUAAAACAGAGUAAGUCUUAAGAAGUUCGACUAAGUUGCUGUCAUAGUGUAAAAAUGAGUGGCUCGUUUACAGUUCAUGUACAGUGGAUUAAAAGGGGAGAGUGGAGCAUGGCCUGCGGGGUUUUCACUCACAGCAAUAAUCUUAUGAGUCUAAUGAACCGCUUUCCACAAGAGCUAACAAAGAAAGUCCCUGUGGGCAAAUGACUUGAAACAUGUUAUCCUAGAUGGGUUUUUUUUUUCUUUUUGUUGCUGUAUCAAAGUGUUGGGAGGACUUGGGGGAUGUAAACAUUGUUAAAAUCAUCUUUGGAUCAAAUGCUUUGAAUAUUUUUGCUUCUGGCUGCUACUAACAUGACAACGAUGAAAAAAGAAAAAAAACACUCUGAGUUGUAGCAUCAGAUAUUUAACAUGUAAAGGAAAGGUCCUCACACACUGACUGGACCUCUGAAACCACGCUACUUAGAUAUUUCUUUGAGUUACAGAUAAUAGUGAGACAGUGUGAGUGCAGCAGCUAGUGUGGCGUGUGGAGGGACUGUGGCUUGUCAGAUUUGUACAGAGCGAUUCACAGACACUGAGCAGCUGUGGAAGUAACGUCCGGUAUUCAUGGUCGUUUCAUGCCUUCGGCCAGGAAAAACCAUGAUGUUGGUCUUUGUGCCUUACAACAUGGUCAGCUUCCUUCACAAGCAAAUUUCUUUGUUCUUCGUUCUUAGGUGCAUUGAAACUGGCAUAGGUUUGGUUUUUUCAAUCUUGUUAUCGUAGGCAACUGACUAGGCUCCAGUUACCUACUAUACAGCACCUAGAUUUGCCAAUAUUGAUUCGCAGGUGGAUCAACAGUCGUAGCAAAACCCAGACAAGCACAAUUAUUUAAUCAAUGUUGAUGUUAACGCAUAUUUUUCUUUGUCAUGUGUUUAUUUCUUGAAUAAACACAGUACUAUUUUGUGUUUAUGUAGUACUUUGUGUAUAUGACGAUACUGUAGGCUAUAUUUUUCUCACAGGU
ensembl:lncRNA